UACUUAGUAGCUCUUUAAGAGCGAAGGUGGGAUAGUGGCGAACGGGUGAGUGACACGUGGGUAACCUACCCUUAAAUGGGGAAUAAUCCGUCGAAAGACGGACUAAUACCGCAUGACGCUUUCUAACAUAAGUUAGAAGGCUAAAGGUCCCGUAAGGGAUUGUUUAAGGAUGGGCCCGCGGCCUAUUAGCUUGUUGGUAGGGUAAUAGCCUACCAAGGCGAUGAUGGGUAGCCGACCUGAGAGGGUAUACGGCCACACUGGGAUUGAGAUACGGCCCAGACUCCUACGGGAGGCAGCAGUGGGGAAUUUUGGACAAUGGGGGAAACCCUGAUCCAGCGACGCCGCGUGAGGGAUGAAGGCCUUCGGGUUGUAAACCUCUGUCAGAGAGGACGAAUUAGACGGUACUCUCAGAGGAAGCCACGGCUAACUCCGUGCCAGCAGCCGCGGUAAUACGGAGGUGGCAAGCGUUAUCCGGAUUCAUUGGGCGUAAAGGGCGUGUAGGUGUCCCCAUAAGUCGGAUGUGAAAUCCUUCUGCUUAACAGAAGAAUGGCAUUCGAAACUGUGGGGAUUGAGUACAGGAGAGGAGAGUGGAAUUCCUGGUGUAGCGGUGAAAUGCGUAGAUAUCAGGAGGAACACCGGUGGCGAAGGCGACUCUCUGGCCUGAUACUGACACUGAAACGCGAAAGCUAGGGGAGCAAACAGGAUUAGAUACCCUGGUAGUCCUAGCCGUAAACGAUGCUCACUA
rnacentral:rRNA from 1 species